CCCAACACUGUCCGCAUGGCAGCUGGACGCAUGCGCAGCUCCAGCGGCGGGUCCUAAAUAUCCAAUAUCCUCUGAACCCGCCUGGUGCUCAAACUUGGACGCCGACUGAAAAUAAUGUCGUUUCCCCGCGGAAGCGAACUUUCCUGCCACCGACAGCGAGGUCCGGAACUUGAGUCAGGGGUUUUCAGUGUGUUCAGUUUGGUCUGAAGUACUUUUUUUUUUUUCUCCAGUCUGUAGUGUUGGGCUCCUAAUGGCCAGCAUUGGCUGAGUAUUUUGAUCCCGGUCAGUGACAGCCUGCAAACAGCAGGGAGAGCUGUGCAGCGAGCGCGACGCAUUUGUUAUGAGCGUCUCCGAGCAGUGAAGGGAUAAUCUGGGAGCUCAUUUGGUGCUGGAGCAACAUUUUCACAACACAGUGAGUGGCAGAUCAUAGCCAGAGAAGCCAUGGAGGCCUCACAGGACCUCAGCGAACAGAUGGUGAAGAAAUCACACGGUGAAUCUCAUGUUCCAGACCCUUCAGACGCCAGGUCUAUGGAAAUGCAGGACCUAGCCAGUCCUCAUAACCGCGUGGGAGCCGGAGACUCAACAGGCUCCAAACUGGACAAGAACAACCUUGGCAGUCCCUCCAUCACCACUAAUGGAACAGGAGGUGAAAGCAUGACCGUUCUAAACACGGCUGAUUGGCUGCUGGGCUGCAGCAGCCCGCCCCCUGCCUCGGGUUCCAAGGAAUAUGUGAAAACAGAGCCUUUGAACAGCAGCGAUACGGUCACCACGACAGGCGACGCAUCACUGGACACAUAUGCUGGCUCAGUAAUAACCAGCAGUGGAUACAGCCCUCGUUCGGCCCAUCAGUACUCUCCUUCCCUCUACCCAUCAAAGCCCUACCCUCACAUCCUCUCCACACCACCAGCUCCUGCAAUGCCAACAUACGCUGGUCAACCUCAGUUCAGCAGCAUGCAGCAGUCAACCGUUUAUACAGCCUACUCACAGACAGGACAGGCCUACGGACUCUCCACCUAUGAUCUGGGUGUGAUGCUUCCUGGGAUUAAGACAGAGAGCAGCCUCACCCAGAGUCAGUCUCCACUACAGACUGGCCUCAGCUACAGCCCCGGCUUCACCACACCUCAGCCCGGACAGACUGCCUACUCACCCUAUCAGAUGCCAGGGUCCAGUUUCACUCCUUCCUCAGGCCUCUACGCCACCAACAACUCGGUGUCCAACCCCGCCAACUACACUGCCACACAGCAGGAUUAUCCCUCAUACACGACGUUUGGCCAAAACCAGUAUGCGCAGUAUUACUCUCCCUCCACUUAUGGGUCAUAUAUGACCUCAAACAGCGUUGACGGCACAGGUUCCACGGCAGCCUACCAGCUGCAAGAUCCCGCUCCUGCCAUGACAGGACAGGCUGCUGAGAUUCACCCAGGGGACUUUGAUACAGUGCAGAGCCCCUCCACGCCCAUCAAAGAGCUGGACGACAGAGCCUGUCGGAGUGGGGGGUCCAAGUCUCGCGGCAGGGGCCGCAAAAACAACCCUUCUCCUCCCCCUGACAGUGACCUGGAGAGAGUGUUUGUGUGGGAUCUAGAUGAGACGAUCAUUGUCUUCCAUUCUCUGCUCACCGGCUCCUAUGCACAGAAAUAUGGCAAGGACCCUCCAAUGGCAGUAACACUGGGUCUGAGGAUGGAGGAGAUGAUCUUCAACUUGGCUGACACGCACUUAUUCUUUAAUGACCUGGAGGAAUGCGAUCAGGUACACAUUGAUGACGUGUCAUCAGAUGACAACGGCCAAGACUUAAGUACUUACAGUUUUGCAACUGAUGGCUUCCAUGCAGCUGCAACCAGCGCCAACCUGUGCCUGGCUACGGGGGUCCGCGGUGGGGUCGACUGGAUGAGGAAGCUGGCCUUCCGCUACCGACGGGUCAAAGAGUUGUAUAGCACGUACAAAAACAAUGUAGGGGGUCUGUUGGGCCCUGCUAAGAGAGACGCCUGGCUGCAGCUCAGAGCCGAGGUGGAGGCUCUCACUGAUUCCUGGCUCACCCACGCACUCAAGUCCCUGUCCAUCAUCAGCUCAAGGAGUAACUGUGUAAAUGUGUUGGUAACAACGACGCAGCUCAUACCGGCGCUGGCUAAAGUUCUUCUGUACAGUCUUGGAUCUGUUUUCCCUAUUGAAAAUAUUUACAGUGCAACAAAAAUAGGCAAAGAGAGCUGUUUUGAGCGUAUAGUCUCCCGCUUUGGCACUAACAUUACAUAUGUUGUGAUUGGCGAUGGGAAGGAUGAGGAGCAUGCCGCCAGCCAGGAAAAGAGAGUUGCUUUGAGCGCAUAAUGCAAAGGUUUGGCAGGAAAGUAGUGUAUGUUGUAAUUGGGGACGGUGUGGAAGAGGAACAGGCGGCCAAAAAGCACAACAUGCCCUUCUGGAGGAUAUCAAGUCACUCUGACCUGCUGGCAUUACACCAAGCACUGGAGUUUGAAUACCUGUAACUACCACGGCAUCAUGGACUCACGCGGUGUUGGCGGCGGAAACGAGCGGCCCUCUUUCUUACAACUAUUUAAAAAGAACAAACACGUUAGACUGCAAUGGUUUGAUCUCUUUUUCUGUCUUUUUUUGAACGUCUGGAUUGAUGAACUCUAAACAGUCUUAAAUUGAAGGUGAUGCGGUCAGUGGGGUUAGUAGUGACCCCUGCUCAGCCCUCCUGCUCUGGAUCUUUAUGUAUAAUAAAAAAAUAAAAAGAAAGGUCCCGUUUAUGCAGCUUAACUGGGAUCCCCAAGGAUGAAGACUUUCCAGGAUGUUUCUGUUCACGAUCCGUCUGCGAUCGGCGCACAGGGCGAAAGGAGGACGUCUCACCUGGAGCGUACGGUCCCCUCCUAAAAUAUUAAUCUGAAGGAAUCUCUAUAUAGAGUCGAUGUGUAACGGGGGAUGUGUUUUUUUUUUUCUAAAGCUUUUCUUGCUGGCGGUAAACUUGCAAUAAAAUGCGAUCUGUGGUUAAAAAAAAAAAAAAAACUUCUGUAAAUUAUUUCCAAUAAAUUUCAAGGACAGUUGAUGUUUUGGGUUUUGUCAGAAAUUAAAUUGUAAGGAUUUGAUCUUUA